GGGGUUCUGAGAGGAUGAUCCCCCACACUGGCACUGACAUACGGGCCAGACUCCUACGGGAGGCAGCAGUAAGGAAUAUUGGGCAAUGGAGGCAACUCUGACCCAGCCAUGCCGCGUGAAGGAUGAAGGCUUUCUGAGUCGUAAACUUCUUUUAUACGGGAAGAAAACGCCCUGCGGGGUUUAUUGACGGUACCGUAUGAAUAAGCACCGG
rnacentral:rRNA from 1 species